AGAGCCCCUCGAUAUUUGUUUCUGGCACGCCCCUAGGGGUAGUAUCAAGGUGGUGUCGGCAGACACCACUCACAGGGUGGGGCGCAGUUUACGAAGGAAGAGCAGUAAACGGAUAGUGUUUCUUUCCUUGAAAAACGUUCUACCCUGCCUUCGAAUUGUCACAUCCUGGUCCGGACAAACAAUACGACCGUGGUGGCAUACAUCGACCGCCAGUGUGAAGCAGAGUACACCUACUCUCACUACGCGUGGCUCAUGUCCCAGGAGUACUGAAUGAAGGAGCGGAUUGGAGACUCGGAUUGAAGUGGUGAACCAGAUCUGGGAGAGAUAAAAACAUCAUACCCCUUAUGUUUUCCACAUUUUGUUGUGUUACAAAGUGGGAUUAAAACAGAUUUAAUUAUCAUUUUUUGCCAACGAUCUACACAAAAUACACCAUAAUGUCAAAUUUGGCUUGUCACCUAAAAUCCUCAAAAACCUUUACAGAUGCACAAUUGAGAGCAUCCUGUCGAGCUGUAUCACCGCCUGGUAGGCAACUACACCGCCCACAACCGCUAGGCUCUCCAGAGGGUGGUGCGGUCUGCACAACGCAUCACCGGGGCAAAUUACCUGCCCUCCAGGUCACCUACAGCACCCGAUGUCACAGGAAGGCCAACAAAAAGAAUCAAGGACAACAACCACCCGAGCCACUGCCUGUUCACCCCGCUAUCAUCCAGAAGGCGAGAUUUCCUCCUCUUCGUCUGAAGAGGUGUAGUAUGGAUCGGACCAAGAUGUGGCAUGGUUAUUAUUGUGGAGUAACUACAAUGCUGAACCAUUCUCCGUUUUCUCCUAUCACAGCC
ensembl:lncRNA